UCAUUCGGGCUGACAGCGGCAUUUAUGAGAGCAAAUGUCUGUCCCUGCGCAAUUUCUGUGGGGAUAGUUGCAGUCAGGUCUACAGGAUUUGCUUAAAAAUUUCCAAGACCUGGGUGUGUCUGACAGCCUGGACCUCAACCUCAAAAAGGAACUAGCUCCUCUCUGAUUUCCUUGGGACACCUGGGAGCAAGCACAGGAGCCCAUGGAGCCACGGAGAGUGUCACUUCAAGCGCCUCCUGGGAGCUCUUGCAGAUGCCAAGUGCUCUGCCCUUCCCCAUUACCUGUGAUUUCAAGUGGGCUUAGAGAUUCUCCAAGAUGUGAGAUGAAAGGCCAAGAAACUAAUUCCUCUGACUUCUUCAGAGAACCGCACAGUCUCUUGAGCAGGAGUUAACCAGAAGAGUGACGGUUGUGCAUGGACGGCCCUGGUUCACAGUCCAGCUCUGCCAUCCCUAGCAUGAUACCUAGAUGAAGCCCUGUGGAUUCUACCUCUGGAUCAUCUCAUCCAAAAUGCCACCCGUCAGUUUCCACUGGUCCUCCUUGGUUCAAGGCGUCCUCAUCUUCACCCUCCACUGAAGCAACAACUCCUCACGGAUCUUCCUGCUUCCAAUCUUGCCUUUCUCUUUUCUCUCUUACCCAAACCCAUAGGCAUGUCCUCUUCAGAUCAUGAAUAAUAUUCCUAAAACACAAACAGGAUCAGAUUCCCCCCUUGUAAAAUUCCUUCAGUGGAUGUCUUCUAACUUCAAGGGAAAGGCUAGGACCCUUGGAUCUUCCAAAUCCAGACCAGGCUGACUGCUCUAGCCUUCUUCCAACAUCCACGACACCCAUUUUGCACCCAAUGCUCUAGGCACUGGGAGCUACUCACAGUUCCCCUGACCUGACAAACUGUUCAGACAUCCACACAUUUCCUAGUGCUGUCUGCACCUGCAUAAAUUGCCCUCUGCUUUCCUCAUGUCCCCUCUACUGUUAAAACCUGCUCAUCUCUUAUUACUCAGCUCCACUGUUCUCUUCUCGCUCUACAGAAAAGGUUCCAGGCUCCAGUUAUGACUCUCCUCUAUGUCCCAAUCAGAACACAUUCGGUUCCCAUUAGAGUCUCUAGGACAAUCUAAUCUUGCAUUACCUUUUCCUCUAUAGGACCACAGCUUGUUGAAGAAAAUGAACAGUCUCCCUGGUACCAUUUGUUUUUGUAUCCCCAGCAUCUAUGGCAUUGAGUACAUAGAAUCCUUGGGAUGACCAGCAAUUGAGCUGUGGGCAGAACAAGAACAAUCAGCAAAGGAGACUGAGAAGCACCAGCCAGAGAAGCAGGAGGAGAACCGGUAGAGAGACAGCUACUGCAGCCACCAAAGGGAGAAAGGUUCUGCUGGGAGGAAAAUGAGAGCCUGUGGAAGUGAGCCAAAGAAUCUUCUGCCUGGGGAACAUUCACUGAUGCUUCAAGUGCUGGAAGAUCUGUGACUCCCAA
rnacentral:lncRNA from 10 species